CGCGUAGGCGGCUUUAUAAGUCUGGAGUGAAAGUCCUCUUUUCAAGGGAGGAAUUGCUUUGGAAACUAUAGAGCUUGAGUGCAGGAGAGGUUAUCGGAAUUCCCGGUGUAGCGGUGAAAUGCGUAGAUAUCGGGAGGAACAUCGGUGGCGAAGGCGGGUAACUGGACUGCAACUGACGCUGAGGCGCGAAAGUGUGGGGAGGCAAAACA
rnacentral:rRNA from 1 species